UCUGCCACAUCCUGAACGCGUGGAUUCCUUCCCUUGUACCGGGGGGAACGUGGAGAAAAAGACCACCUGAGUCAUCGACUGUUUUAGGUGGAGAUCUCAAGAACACACACGUGGGUGGUAGAGGCAUACAAGCCAAAGCAUGGUGUUCCCAGAAGAAUGAAUAGUGAUGACUAGAAACAGUGAAUGGGUUUCUGGUUGAAAAGCCCAUCCUGCUUUUCUAUCCAACUCUUUUUUU